GAUGAACGCUGGCGGCGUGCCUAAUACAUGCAAGUCGAGCGAACGGACGAGAAGCUUGCUUCUCUGAUGUUAGCGGCGGACGGGUGAGUAACACGUGGAUAACCUACCUAUAAGACUGGGAUAACUUCGGGAAACCGGAGCUAAUACCGGAUAAUAUUUUGAACCGCAUGGUUCAAAAGUGAAAGACGGUCUUGCUGUCACUUAUAGAUGGAUCCGCGCUGCAUUAGCUAGUUGGUAAGGUAACGGCUUACCAAGGCAACGAUGCAUAGCCGACCUGAGAGGGUAAUCGGCCACCCUGGAACUGAGACACGGUCCAGACUCCUACGGGAGGCAGCAGUAGGGAAUCUUCCGCAAUGGGCGAAAGCCUGACGGAGCAACGCCGCGUGAGUGAUGAAGGUCUUCGGAUCGUAAAACUCUGUUAUUAGGGAAGAACAUAUGUGUAAGUAACUGUGCACAUCUUGACGGUACCUAAUCAGAAAGCCACGGCUAACUACGUG
rnacentral:rRNA from 1 species